CAGGUCUCUGGGCUGUUACUGACGCUGAGGAGCGAAAAGCAUGGGGAGCGAACAGGAUUAGAUACCUGGUAGUCCAUGCCGUAAACGUUGGGCACUAGGUGUGGGGGACAUUCCACGUUUUCCGCGCCGUAGCUAACGCAUUAAGUGCCCCGCCUGGGGAGUACGGCCGCAAGGCUAAAACUCAAAGGAAUUGACGGGGGCCCGCACAAGCGGCGGAGCAUGCGGAUUAAUUUGAUGCAACGCGAAGAACCUUACCAAGGCUUGACAUAUACCGGAUCGUUCCAGAGAUGGUUCUUCCCCUUUGGGGUCGGUAUACAGGUGGUGCAUGGUUGUCGUCAGCUCGUGUCGUGAGAUGUUGGGUUAAGUCCCGCAACGAGCGCAACCCUCGUUCCAUGUUGCCAGCACGUGAUGGUGGGGACUCAUGGGAGACUGCCGGGGUCAACUCGGAGGAAGGUGGGGAUGACGUCAAAUCAUCAUGCCCCUUAUGUCUUGGGCUUCACGCAUGCUACAAUGGCCGGUACAAAGGGUUGCGAUACUGUGAGGUGGAGCUAAUCCCAAAAAGCCGGUCUCAGUUCGGAUUGAGGUCUGCAACUCGACCUCAUGAAGUCGGAGUCGCUAGUAAUCGCAGAUCAGCAACGCUGCGGUGAAUACGUUCCCGGGCCUUGUACACACCGCCCGUCAAGUCACGAAAGUCGGUAACACCCGAAGCCGGUGGCCCAACC
rnacentral:rRNA from 1 species